UUUGUAUUACGAGCGGAAAUUGUUACCAUUUUCGGCUCAAAAAUGGUAACAAUUUCCGCACGUAAUGCAAA
rnacentral:miRNA from 1 species